rnacentral:rRNA from 1 species
CCUUCAUGAAGCCGGAAUUGCUAGUAAUGGCAGGUCAGCAUACUGCCGUGAAUACGUUCCCGGGCCUUGUACACACCGCCCGUCACACCAUGAGAGUUGGGAAUACCCGAAGCCUGUGAGCUAACUUUAGGGAGGCAGCAGUCGAAGGUAGAAUCAAUGAUUGGGGUGAAGUCGUAACAAGGUACC